AACCCUAUCUCAAAUAAAGACCAAACCAAAACAACAAUAACAAAAAACAGAUUGCCCGGGCUCUGAACCUAUGAUCUUUUGAGUCUCAUUGCCUCCCAAAUGCUAAGGAAUGAUAGCAUGUGGACCAUCUUGUGAGUCCGGCUACUGUCUUAAUGGCUGCUUUUCCUGUAGUGUUGGGGCUGCUUGCCAAAGGCAUCCAGUGAGCAAAGUAAUAAUUAGAACCAAAAUGGCUAAGGCCAUAUGAUGGGAUCUCUUUGUGGUCCCUCUGAAGAACUAAACAAGUUAGAUGAUAAGGAUCAACUAGUAAGCAGCAGAGAACAGAGUGGAGUUUGUUAGGCAGAGAUUGGGAACGUUACUGGUGGAAAGCAGUUUCAGUUAGAUGUGCUUAAACCAGCAAAGUGUGACAUAGAGUGUUUCCUUUAUAGACAGUGCUUGCCUUCUGUUUUCACGGUUUGGUUAGGUUUGGUUUGGUUUGGUUUGGUUUGGUUUGGUUUGGUUUGGUUUGUUUGAAACAAGGUCUCACUAUAUAGCUAUGGGUGACCUGGAACUCACUGUGUGAAGUAGGCUGGCAUCAGACUCACAGACAUCCUCCUGCCUCUGCCUCCUUAGUGCUGGGAUGCAGUGUAUGCACUACCAUGCCUGGUGGCUUCUUUUGUUUGUUUUUAAAAAUUUAUCUAUUUAUUUUUAUUUAUGUAUGCAUAUCAGUGUAUGCCACGUGUGUGGGUGCCCAUGGAGGUCAGAAGAGGGCAUCAGAUUCUCUGGAGCUGGGCCACUAUGAGCCUUUCUGCCAGUGUGGGUGCUGGAGACAUGCUUUCGCUUGCUGGCCUGGAAAUCACAGAGAUCCACUUGCUUCUGCCUCCCCAGUGCAGUUUUAGAGGUCAGAGGUCCUUAGUGAGACUUGAGCUGAGGACACUUAGCUCAGUGGUAUAGUGUUUGCCUAGCAUACAAUAGACCCGGGUUUAACCCCAAGAGGAAAUGGGGAACUAACAAGGGCACUACCAAAAUGGGUCUCACUAGGCCCACAUGGUGUUGACAGGGUUCUGUUCUUCCUGAAGGCCCUGAGGGAAACCCAUCACUUUGCAUGGUCUAGUUCUAGAGACAGCCUGGGGUCCCUGCCUGUGCUCAUCUCCUUCCUUCAGCAAGCUGGAGCUGAGUCCCGGUCACAUGUCUCUGAUUUUCUUUGUGAUUACACUAAGUCCAUUUAGAUAAUCCAUGAUACUGUCCCCAUAUUAAGGUCGAUCUUAAUUCCAUUUGCAGUCAGAGCCCUUCUUUGCACACUCACAUUGUAGAGAUGCAACCUCCUUUUUUUCCUGGGUGAGGGGAUCUUCUCCCUACCUUACUUGCUGUCUGGUUAAUCAUUUGACCUGAUAAUUAAAAUAAGAAAAGGUAACAAUAAUGGAUUAGAAUACGUUGUUCUGAUUUAGGAGUUUAUUGGCAUAAAAACAGUUUUUCUGAUUUGACAAAUAUUAAAGAAACUCUAUUUCAGGAAGUAAUUUUGAAACACUGUUGUCUUGCAGGCUGCAUUUGCCGCAGCUUUACAACGUCUUCUGCUCUGCUGAGUAAGUUCACUCUUGCUUAUGUACUUAACGUUGCUCUUUAUAAUCCUCUUGUUCUUUUAGAUGAUAAUAUAAUCCCAUCUUAUUGUACAUUCAUUUUCCUCCUUCCAGCCCCUCCCAUACAUUUCCCUGGUUCCUCAAAUUCAUAGCCUCUUUCUUUGUUGAUGUAUGUAUGUGUGUGUGUAUACAUAUGUACAUAUCCCUAAAUAUGUAUAUAUUUGUGUGUAUAUCCCUAAAUAUAUAUACGUGUACAUAUAUAUGUAUGUAGUAUAAUGUAGUAUAUGUAUAUAUAGCAACAAAGUAAAAGAAGUCAUGAAUUUGAGAGAACAAGGGGAGUGGGUGGGAGGGGUUGGAGGAAAGUAAAUAGUGUGUAUGGGUAUGUAUAUGUGUGUGGUGUGUAGCUCUGAAUAUGUAUGUGUGUGUUCAUCUCUAAAUAUGGGGUGGCGGGCCUAAAUAUAACUGUCCAGUCCAUAUAAUGGCAUGUAUGUAUAUGAUUUUAACAUCACUUUAUAAAUGUUUUUUUAUACUAAACAUGUUUAGAAACCAAUCUGUCUUCUCUUUUUUAGCCAGAACCCAUAUUAAUUAUGGCGUCAAAGGGGAUGUGGCAGUUAUUCGGAUUAACUCACCCAAUUCAAAGGUACUUGAACUUUCUUUAGUUAAUUUCUACCAACUACAGUUAUGAGUCGUAUCCUACAUAGAAAUAAAAUCUCCCUGACUUGAAGUGGACUUGUCUUACGAUUUUUAAAAUUUUGUGAGUUACAUAGAUGUUCUUGAAUGAGAAUUCCUUCUUGGGGCCAUGGGUAGUAACAAAGGCAGGCAGAUCUCUGUGAAUUCUAAGCUAGCCUGGUCUACAGAGCAAGUUCCAGGUCAGCUAGAACUCCAUAGUGAGACUCUGUCCC
rnacentral:lncRNA from 1 species